rnacentral:tRNA from 2 species
GGGGGCGUGGUGGAACUGGCAGACACAACGAGCUUAAGCCUCGUCGCCUCACGGCUUGCGGGUUCGAGUCCCGCCGCCCCCA